rnacentral:lncRNA from 10 species
GUGAAAUCCACUGCGGGUUUUCCAGGAGUGUAGAGGCGGAGAAGUCUAUCCGAGCUUCCAGUUCUGCUUCUGAAGCUGGAAGGGGCUUUUCGGUUGUAACCCUUGGGUUAGUUUCAGUUACUUCUUUGCUAGGUUGAGGAAAGGGUGGAAGCGCCUCCUGCAGCCACGAAUAUCCUCCAGUGCCUGAGAGAAAACGGCCUAAUCGAAAACGUCCGCGGCAUACAUCCAUUCUUAAAACUUGAGUGGCUGCUUUUCUGGGUGGAAAAGAGCGGUAUCAGACAGGUAACAAUGCCUGGAUUUUAUUCAGAUGCUGUGUACCCAGCCAAAAGACUACAUUUCUCAAUCUCCAUUGUAGCUGGAUGUGGCUGUGUGAUCAAGUUAUGACCAAUGAGAUAUAAGUAGAAGUAGCUUGGCCAGACACAGUGGCUCACACCUGUAAUCCCAGCCCUUUGGGAGGCCAAAGCAGGAGGAUCACUUGCACUCAGGAGUUGGAAACUGCAGACCAGCCUGGAGAACACAGUGACACCUUGUCUCUACACAAAAUGAAAAAGUUAGCAGGGUAUGGUGGCAUGUGCCUGUGGUCCCAGCUACUUCCAGCUACUUGGGAGGCUAAAAUGGAAGGAUCGCUUGAGCCUGGGAGAUUGAGGCCUCAGUGAGCCAUGAUCAUGCCACUGUACUCCAGCCUGGGUGACAAGAGCAAGACCCUGUCUCUCAAAAAAAAAAAAACGCGGCUGGGUGGAACAUCUGGAAAACAUCUUUAAAGAACGCUGACUCAAUCAGGAGGAGCACCAUUUUGUUUCUUGCCCUCUGCCCUUCCUGCCUGAAACAGAUAAGUGCCCUCUGUGUACCAAAAAGGAAUGUACUGUUUAUAGAGACUUCAAAUCAGCAGAAAAUUCAAAUAGUUAUAACUUUUCUUUAUAAUCCAUCAUGAAAAAGAGUAACGACAAGUAAGCAAACUAAUAUCAGCUAUUUCAAUAGUUUCUUUUCCUUUUUUUUCUUUUUGAGACAGAGUCUCGACAGGAUGGAGUGCAGUGGUGCAAUCUCAGCUCACUGCAACCUCCGCUUCCCGGGUUCAAGCGAUUCUCCUGCCUCAGCCUCCUGAAUAGGUGGGACUACAGGUGCAUGCCACCAUGCCCAGCUAAUUUUUGUAUUUUUAGUAGAGAUGGGGUUUCACCAUGUUGACCAAGAUGGUCUCCAUCUCUUGACUCGUGAUCCGCCCACCUCGACCUCCCAAAGUGCUGGGAUUACAGGCGUGAGCCACCGCGCCCGACCUUUUUUUUUUCUUUUUUUAAUAAGUUUUUGUUCUGUCACCCAGACUGGAAUGCAGUGGUGUAGUUGUCGCUCACUGCAGCCUCUAACUCCUGGGCUCAAGGGAUCCUCCUGCCUCAGCCACCCCAAGUGCUGGGAUUACAGGCGUGAGACACUGCACCUGGCCUAAAUACAAUUUCCAAGCAGAUAUGACUGUUAACUUACUUUGUUGAACCAAAAAAAACGUAGCUAAGAUAUUGGCAAAAACUAAGAAAACAUCUUUUUUGGAUUCUCAUGUCUACAUUUCAGCCUAUUAUUUGGAAUGAAUUCCUACAUGUGCAUAAUGAAUUGUACCACUCUAAGCCUAUUGACUC